CCCGUUCAUCCCUCCGCGCCCGGAGUUGGUAUGCGCCGGCCGGCGCGGCGGCCCAAUCGCGGCGGCUGUUGUUGGCCGGCGCAGGGUGACAUUGGGGGCGGUGGAGCUGCCAUGGCGCUGGCGUCGCUGGGCCGGUCGGCGGGGCGGCUGCUGCGGGCCCGGAGCGCCGCGGUCGGGCGGCGGCACGCUGGCGGCGAGGUGCACAUCCAGCCGCGGUACCGGCAGUUCCCGGAGCUGACGCGGGCGCAGGUGAUCCGCAGCGAGCUCAUCAGCGGCUUCAUGUGGUUCUGGAUCCUGUGGCACUUCUGGCACAGCUCGGACAUGGUGCUGGGACACUUCCCCUACCCCGACCCUUCGGCCUGGACGGACGAGGAGCUGGGGAUCCCUCCGGACGACGCGGAAUAGGCGCUCCCCGCAGCACGCCGCUUCAGAGCUCUCGGUGCCAGGGCACGGCGCCAGGUGUCGCUUGCUGGGCGCCUUCUCUUGGCGCUGCUACAGGUCCCUGGAACUAAAGAGGCCCCUGGCACCAAAGCUUUGGCUCCUCGGGUCCUUAUUUCAAUAAAAGUAACUAUAAACAAACUCUA